rnacentral:rRNA from 1 species
AGUAUCCGAUUGUUACCUGUGAUUGAACGCUGGCGGGAUGCUUUACAUGAUGCAAGUCGAACGCAGCACGGACUUCGGUCUGGUGGCGAGUGGCGAACGGGUGAGUAGUCGUAUCGGAACGCCUAGUAGCGGGGAUAACUACGCGAAAGCGUAGCCACACGCGACACCCUUCGGGCAGCGCGGGGACCUUCGGGCCUCACUAGAGUGCCGGAUAUCGGAUUAGUCAGUUUGCGGGGUAACGGCUCACCAAGGCGACGAUCCGUAGUUGGUUUGAGAGGACGACCAGCCACACUGGGACUGAGACACGGCCCAGACUCCUACGGGAGGCAGCAGUGGGGAAUUUUGGACAAUGGGGAAACCCUGAUCCAACCAUCCCGCGUGUGCGAUGAAGGCCUUCGGGUUGUAAAGCACUUUUGGCAGGAAGAAACGGCACGGAUAAUACCCCGUGCAACUGACGGUACCUGCAGAAUGCCACCAACAACCACAUGCCAGCAGCCGCGGUAAUACGUAGGGUGCAAGCGUUAAUCGGAAAUCGACCGGGCGUAAAGCGUGCGCAGGCGGUUCGGAAAGAAAGAGCAAGAAAUCCCAGAGCUUAACUUUGGAACUGCAUUUUUGAACUAUCAGCCAUACCGGAGGAGUGACUCUGCGUAGUGGGAAACGUAUGCGCUGAGAGGAACACUGAUGGCGAAGGCAGCCUCCCUGGGAUAACACUGACGCUCAUGCACGAAAGCGUGGGGAGUAAACAGGAUUAGAUAACCUGUAGUCCACGCCCCAAACGAUGCCAAUCAUUGCUGGGGCCUUCUUGGCUCGGUAGCGCAGCUAACGCGUGAAGUUGACCGCCUGGGGAGUACGGGUUUGAUUAAACCUCCGUGCUGGAAUUGACGGGACCCGCACAAGCGGUGGAUGAGCGUGGAUUAAUCUGAUGCAACGCGAAAAACCUUACCUACCCUUGACAUGUCUGGAAUCCCGAAGAGAUUUUGGGAGUGCUCGCAAGAGAACCGGAACAUAAAACACGGUUGUCGUCAGCUCGCGUCGUGAGAUGUUGGGGUUAUGUCCGCAACGAGCGCAACCCUGUCAUUAGUUGCUGGGCUGAAAGGGCACCUAAUGAGACUGCCGGUGAUAAACUGGAGGAUGCGAUGACGUCAAGUCCUCAUGGACCUUAUGGCAGGCUUCACACGUCAUACACGUCGGGCGAGAGGUCGCCAACCCGCGAGGGGAGCCAAUCCCAGAAACCCGAUCGUAAACCGAUCGCAGUCUGCAACUCGACCGGCGUACAAGCUGAACUUUUUCAGUAAUCACGGAUCAGCAUGUCGCGGUGAAUACGUUCCCGGGUUCAGUACACACCGCCCGUCACACCAUGGGGAGCGGGUUUUACCAGAAGUAGUUAGCCUAACCGUAAGGAGGGCGAUUACCACGGUAGGAUUCAUGAUUGGGGUAAAGUCGUGUACUACGGUAGCCCCCAGCCAUACCCGACGUCUCC